rnacentral:rRNA from 1 species
AACGAGGCGAACCGGGGGAACUGAAACAUCUAAGUACCCCGAGGAAAAGAAAUCAACCGAGAUUCCCCCAGUAGCGGCGAGCGAACGGGGAGCAGCCCGGAGUCUGAAUCAGCUUGUGUGUUAGUGGAAGCGUCUGGAAAGUCGCAGGGUACAGGGUGAUACUCCCGUACACUAAAAUGCACAGGUUGUGAACUCGAAGAGUAGGGCGGGACACGUGGUAUCCUGUCUGAAUAUGGGGGGACCAUCCUCCAAGGCUAAAUACUCCUGACUGACCGAUAGUGAACCAGUACCGUGAGGGAAAGGCGAAAAGAACCCCGGCGAGGGGAGUGAAAAAGAACCUGAAACCGUGUACGUACAAGCAGUAGGAGCCCACUUGUUGGGUGACUGCGUACCUUUUGUAUAAUGGGUCAGCGACUUAUAUUCUGUAGCAAGGUUAACCGUAUAGGGGAGCCGCAGGGAAACCGAGUCUUAACUGGGCGUUAAGUUGCAGGGUAUAGACCCGAAACCCGGUGAUCUAGCCAUGGGCAGGUUGAAGGUUGGGUAACACUAACUGGAGGACCGAACCGACUAAUGUUGAAAAAUUAGCGGAUGACUUGUGGCUGGGGGUGAAAGGCCAAUCAAACCGGGAGAUAGCUGGUUCUCCCCGAAAGCUAUUUAGGUAGCGCCUCGUGAACUCAUCUUCGGGGGUAGAGCACUGUUUCGGCUAGGGGGUCAUCCCGACUUACCAACCCGAUGCAAACUACGAAUACCGAAGAAUGUUAUCACGGGAGACACACGGCGGGUGCUAACGUCCGUCGUGAAGAGGGAAACAACCCAGACCGCCAGCUAAGGUCCCAAAGUCAUGGUUAAGUGGGAAACGAUGUGGGAAGGCCCAGACAGCCAGGAUGUUGGCUUAGAAGCAGCCAUCAUUUAAAGAAAGCGUAAUAGCUCACUGGUCGAGUCGGCCUGCGCGGAAGAUGUAACGGGGCUAAACCAUGCACCGAAGCUGCGGCAGCGACGCUUAUGCGUUGUUGGGUAGGGGAGCGUUCUGUAAGCCGUUGAAGGUGGCCUGUGAGGGUUGCUGGAGGUAUCAGAAGUGCGAAUGCUGACAUAAGUAACGAUAAUGCGGGUGAAAAACCCGCACGCCGGAAGACCAAGGGUUCCUGUCCAACGUUAAUCGGGGCAGGGUGAGUCGACCCCUAAGGCGAGGCCGAAAGGCGUAGUCGAUGGGAAACAGGUUAAUAUUCCUGUACUCGGUGUUACUGCGAAGGGGGGACGGAGAAGGCUAUGUUGGCCGGGCGACGGUUGUCCCGGUUUAAGCAUGUAGGCGGAUGUUCCAGGUAAAUCCGGAACGUCACUAACGCUGAGGUGUGAUGACGAGGCACUACGGUGCUGAAGUGACAAAUGCCCUGCUUCCAGGAAAAGCCUCUAAGCAUCAGGUAACAUCAAAUCGUACCCCAAACCGACACAGGUGGUCAGGUAGAGAAUACCAAGGCGCUUGAGAGAACUCGGGUGAAGGAACUAGGCAAAAUGGUGCCGUAACUUCGGGAGAAGGCACGCUGAUGGUAGGUGAAGUGACUUGCUCAUGGAGCUGAAAUCAGUCGAAGAUACCAGCUGGCUGCAACUGUUUAUUAAAAACACAGCACUGUGCAAACACGAAAGUGGACGUAUACGGUGUGACGCCUGCCCGGUGCCGGAAGGUUAAUUGAUGGGGUUAUCCGUAAGGAGAAGCUCUUGAUCGAAGCCCCGGUAAACGGCGGCCGUAACUAUAACGGUCCUAAGGUAGCGAAAUUCCUUGUCGGGUAAGUUCCGACCUGCACGAAUGGCGUAAUGAUGGCCAGGCUGUCUCCACCCGAGACUCAGUGAAAUUGAACUCGCUGUGAAGAUGCAGUGUACCCGCGGCAAGACGGAAAGACCCCGUGAACCUUUACUAUAGCUUGACACUGAACACUGGUCCUUGAUGUGUAGGAUAGGUGGGAGGCUUUGAAGUGUGGACGCCAGUCUGCAUGGAGCCAUCCUUGAAAUACCACCCUUUAAUGGCUGGUGUUCUAACGUGGGCCCGUAAUCCGGGUUGCGGACAGUGUCUGGUGGGUAGUUUGACUGGGGCGGUCUCCUCCUAAAGAGUAACGGAGGAGCACGAAGGUCAGCUAAUCCUGGUCGGACAUCAGGAGGUUAGUGCAAUGGCAUAAGCUGGCUUGACUGCGAGCGUGACGGCGCGAGCAGGUGCGAAAGCAGGUCAUAGUGAUCCGGUGGUUCUGAAUGGAAGGGCCAUCGCUCAACGGAUAAAAGGUACUCCGGGGAUAACAGGCUGAUACCGCCCAAGAGUUCAUAUCGACGGCGGUGUUUGGCACCUCGAUGUCGGCUCAUCACAUCCUGGGGCUGAAGUAGGUCCCAAGGGUAUGGCUGUUCGCCAUUUAAAGUGGUACGCGAGCUGGGUUUAGAACGUCGUGAGACAGUUCGGUCCCUAUCUGCCGUGGGCGCUGGAGAAUUGAGGGGGGCUGCUCCUAGUACGAGAGGACCGGAGUGGACGCAUCACUGGUGUUCGGGUUGUCAUGCCAAUGGCAUUGCCCGGUAGCUAAAUGCGGAAGAGAUAAGUGCUGAAAGCAUCUAAGCACGAAACUUGCCCCGAGAUGAGUUCUCCCUGACUCCUUGAGAGUCCUGAAGGAACGUUGAAGACGACGACGUUGAUAGGCCGGGUGUGUAAGCGCAGCGAUGCGUUGAGCUAACCGGUACUAAUGAACCGUGAGGCUUAACCUU